rnacentral:lncRNA from 1 species
UACACAAUCUCCUAAAACUUUAUUUUAUUAUAAUUUUUGGCUUAAUUUUUUAAAUUAUCACAAUCAAAUCCUAUAUUAUAUCAAACUUAUUCGGCUAAAUAUUAAUAUAUCACUAAUACAGAAAUAGUAAAGUAAUAUUAUGAUUGAUGAUACGACAAUAAAUUAAGAUACUAUAUUACUUUCAAAUCAGUAAUUCGUCAAUAUUUAGCCAACUAAAUUAAUCUGCGGAAAAAAAGUUAAGAAUUGAGGAGCAAAAUAUCACACAUGUUAUAAUUUGAGGACCAAA